rnacentral:lncRNA from 1 species
CCCAAUCCAAGACAAAGUAAACAAAAAAUUAGGAUUCUGAUUGACAAUCCAUACUUUCAUUUAGUCUAAGUAAACACCCUACUCCCACUCCCACUCCACACUCCUAAUCCAAGAAUUCCCACUCCUCAGGAUUCCCACUCUAAUCCAAAAAGUAAACGCAGCAUAAUUCUAUUACAUACCACCGUUCAAAAUUCUUUACUCAUUUAGAGCCGCAUUUACUCUCAAGUAUUGGUAUGUGUAUUUUCUGUCAGAUAUUAAAUAAUAAUUAAUUUUUAACCCCAUCACUAAUGUAUUAAUUAUUAAUGCCAAGACACAUUAGAUGUCAACACACAAAUUUAGUAUCCCAACUUUAUAAACACUGCAUCACUCAUUAUAAAUUCAUAAACUGAAAAGGUUAAUAAACACAAUAGGCAGGGAACUAGGGAAUUGGAAUUACCUCCUUCCUUGAGACCCAAUGCUGAUCUCAAGCCUUUGCCUGGAGGAAUGACAGCUCCUCCGAGCCCAGUGGGCUCAUCUGGCUCAUCAACGAACUUACCACGGUCACCCAAAGCUCCAAUUGCUCCAAGCAAGGUGAACAGGAUGAAAAAUAAAAGCAGUGGCUCUGCUUCAUAGAUUGGAAUUCCGGUCUCCAAAUUCAACUGAGCUAGAAUCCCCUUCCCAGUUAUUCCCUCACCCAACAAGGAAGCCUACACAAAACAUAGCUUGCUAAUUAAUUAAUAAAACCCUUGGAAAAUAUGAUCUUAACAGAAGUUUAAUUUUCCUUUUUCUCUCCUAGAUUUUUCAAGUCUACUCGGCCUCCGUCCGAAUUGUGGUACAAAUCCUAAAGGAAGCCUGGAAGCCUUCAAGAAAAAUGAUAAAUCUAAAUCUAACUGAUAUAUGUACAAUUUUGAUGAGCAAAGAGACAGAUGUUGUUUUCAGUAUAGAAUUUGGAAAAAAGUAGUUGAGUACUCACAGCAAAGCCAAUCAUGGCAACACGACCAACAAAGAGCUCAUUUUGCUUUGUAAAACCAAAUCCUCCAGAGGUCCCAAAGAUACCAUCCUCAACUUUUGGCUUUGAUUCAACCUGUAAGUUUAAAUUAAAAUAUACCCAUAAACAACUAGCUAAGGGCCAAUAUUAAAUCAAAACAAUCUUACCAACAAUAAAAACGGAAACAAGAAAACCAAAUUAAACCUUCUUGGUCUUGGGUGGAGCUUUGGUUUUAGAUUUGAAGAGGGCAACAGUAGAAAAAGCUUUAGAUGAUGAAGAAGCCGCAGCAGCAGUUAAAGAUUCAUUAGAGAGUGGGUUGAACAUAAGAUGAGAG